ACUAUCACACGCCGUAGAUACGGGCUUCGGGUUGUAAACCUCUUUUAGUAGGGAAGAAGCGAAAGUGACGGUACCUGCAGAAAAAGCACCGGCUAACUACGUGCCAGCAGCCGCGGUAAUACGUAGGGUGCAAGCGUUGUCCGGAAUUAUUGGGCGUAAAGAGCUCGUAGGCGGUUUGUCGCGUCUGCUGUGAAAUCCCGAGGCUCAACCUCGGGUCUGCAGUGGGUACGGGCAGACUAGAGUGUGGUAGGGGAGAUUGGAAUUCCUGGUGUAGCGGUGGAAUGCGCAGAUAUCAGGAGGAACACCGAUGGCGAAGGCAGAUCUCUGGGCCAUUACUGACGCUGAGGAGCGAAAGCAUGGGGAGCGAACAGGAUUAGAUACCCUGGUAGUCCAUGCCGUAAACGUUGGGCGCUAGAUGUGGGGACCAUUCCACGGUUUCCGUGUCGUAGCUAACGCAUUAAGCGCCCGGCCUGGGGAGUACGGCCGCAAGGCUAAAACUCAAAGGAAUUGACGGGGGCCCGCACAAGCGGCGGAGCAUGCGGAUUAAUUCGAUGCAACGCGAAGAACCUUACCAAGGCUUACAUAUACCGG
rnacentral:rRNA from 1 species